GCCCUGAUUGCUUAGUUGGUUAGAGUUUGGUGCGGAUAAUGCCAAGGUUGCAGGUUUGAUCCUUGUAUGGGACA